ensembl:lncRNA
GUGAGGGUGGGUCAGUUAAGGAUGGCUUUAGUGCCCUCUGUCUUUCCUGACGAGCCUGCCCCACCCCUGGAGCCCCGGGACUUCCUGCUCUCGCUGUCCACCUUCACAUGCUGAGCUCGGACCUGGUCACAACAACAGCCCAGACCCUGAGAGCACCCCGAGAGGCCUCUCUCUCACGACCUCUCACUCCAGGCAGGGAGGCUGCAAAUAUAGGGUGGGCUUGGCAAGGACACCGUCUUCACUGGACAAGGAUGCCAUGCUCUUACUGCUUUGGAGGUUUGAUGCAAUGGGCCCUUCAGAGGAGUGACUUUGGGGAAAGUCUCUGUACUUCAGUUUCCUCACCUCAUGGAAGAUCUUAAGUCCCUGAUCUGGGAUUGAACCUGCACCUCCUGCACUGGAAAGCCUCCGAAGCUUCAAGCUGCGAACUGCGCCUUCACACCACCGUCUGUGGCUUUGGGAGUCAAGGGGAGAAUUCACAGUACUUUGGAAAACACAUUUUCUUUAAAGGAAGAAUUUUUUGUUUUCAUUUCAAACAGCGCUGGCUGGUGACGAGUGGUGAGGAGAGGCGCCCUGUUUUCCAUCCUCACACCUAUUUCCAGGUGGGGGCAGGGAAGGCUCCAGCCCGAAAUGUUAUUUCAAAACCUUUCCGGGCCUUGCAGCUCCAUUUCCAGGCCACAUGCCUCAAAGAAAAGCACGAUUUCCCAUUACGUCGUGUUUUGCCCUUUCUGGUCUGAGCACCUUUCAAAGGGGGACAACCCAGCCUGUUCCAACAUUCCCUCCGGCCCCAUAAAUAGAGCCGCAUCGUGUGAUGUAGGGCGCCCGAUGGCCCUGCUCCCAAUAGGCAUGCUUGCCAAGAGCCGCAAACUCAGGCCACUCCUCCCAGGCCCUCAAGAGAUAGAAGACAAAACUGGUGUGACAUGAAUGCUCCCUGCCUGCUCUCUGCCAUCUGAGGCACAUUCCUGAAAGGCGCAAGGCCAGCAAAGUCUUGUCAUCUGUUGGGGAUGUGAACAGAGGUAGAUCACGUGCUCCCUGCCGGGGAAGGCCACGUUUAGACACUCCCGGAUAGCCAGCUGCCACUUUAUUAACAGAAAGUAUCCCCAUCUGAACCAGGCUGGGAAAGAAAAUAUUUAUGCUUGCCUGUCAGGAGGACCUUCAUUUUUCUUCCAAGGGAGCCAGCCAGGGUGCUGGCCCAGGGAUGAAGGAAUGUGACAUUUCUGUGGGGCUUCUCCAAGCUCUUCUCUGGUCUGGGGUUGAUGGAAACUCCAGAAUAUCCACAGGAGAGCUCUAGACAAGUAUGAGGGGCUUCAGGAGGACUGGAUGUGGGAGCCCAAGAGAGGUAGGUCAGGGCAAACAGAACACACCCUGGACCCUGUUAAGCUGUGAAUGAGCUAUCUGGGUGUGGAUGUGGAGGCUGCAGUUAAGAGAUCCUGUCCAAAUGCACCUUGAAAUGACUCCAGUAUUGACUAAAAACACGGAGCUACAUUAAUCUGAGGAGUGACUUUGUAUGGAGAAUAAAAUAAUCUUACACCGUUAGAAACUGUCAACACGGGAGCUGAACCUGUCAUUUAAGCUGGGCACAUAUUAAAACCAGUUUGUGUUAUUGUUCUGAUCAUGGUCAUUAUUUUGUACGAAAGUCACAACCAGUUCUUUAACAAUUUCAGGGAUACCUGUGGAUCUGAGCCUGGGGAACUGUGUAGGACUCCUGGAGACAACUACACGCACCGAUGAUGGUGACUGAGUAAUAAGGCUCAGAGCUGCACAAGCCACGUGGCCCUGGCGAAUGGAGGCUUUGGCCUCAUGGGCAUAGCAGGAGGGCGAGGCUCACCGCUUAUUCCCAACAGAUCAUGCAUAUUGGAGUUAGAAGUGUGUUACUUGCUCAGUCAUGUCUGACUCUUCGCGACCCCAUGGACUGUAGCCCUCCAGGCUCCUUUGUCCAUGGGAUUUUCCAGGCAAGAAUACUGGAGUGGGUUACCAUUCCCUUCUCCAUGGGAUCUUCCCUACCCAGGGAUUGAACUCUGGUCUCCUGAAUUGUAGGCAGAGUUUUUACUGUCUGAGCCACCAGGGAGUCAGGAGACCUGGGUCCAAAUCCAAACUCUACCUUGUAGAGUUGUGCAACUAACUCUGAGCACCUUAUUUAAGAUUUAAUCUCUCCUGCUCCUUCCAGCCCAUAGCAGCUGCUGAAAGGAAGUGGACAGAGGGGCUUGGAGGCUCUCUGGGAGCUAAUACAUGUCUCCCUCAGGGGGAAGGGGACUAUCUUGAGAAUAACGGGCGCUAAUUACCUCUGUAAAACACAGCACAGUGAGAGCUCAGUAAGUGAUUCCAGAAGCAGUGGUAGGGAUAACACCCAUUACUCCCCAUCUAGAAGUGUAUCAGUAAUUUUUGCUGAUACCUGAAUUAAUAUUUGCAAAUGUGUGCAAGCGUAAUUCCUAGUUCACACCUGUAUUAGUCUACUUGGGCUGCUAUAACAAAAACCCACAGAUUGAGAGGUUUAAACGAAAGACAUUUAUUUUCUCACGGUUCUGGAGGCUGAAAAGUCUAAGAGCAAGUUGCUGGCAGAUUUGUUUCUGGCUUGCACUUGGCCACCUUCUCACUGUGACCUCACAGGGUACAGAGAGCAGCUCUCAUCUUUCUUCCUCUUCUUAUAAGAAUACCAAUCCCUUCAUAGGGGCCCCACCCUCAUGAUUUCAUCUAACUUAAUUGCCUCCCUGAGGCCCUAUCUCCUAAUACCAUCACAUUGGGGGUUGGGGCUUCAACAUAUAAAUUUGGGGGGAGGACACAAAUAUUCAGUCCAUAACAGUAUCUGUAUGUGACAUCUGUUAAUUCAUAUCUGUAUCUGCUUAUGAACUAGUAUAUUGUCUUAAUGCCCACUUAUGUCUUGUAAGUUAAAACAGAACAGUGGUGGCACAGGAGCUUACAUACUUUAGUGUGUGCCUCCGUGUAGACCUGUGUGUGCCUGAGAGCCUAGCACAGGUUGACGUCAUGGGCUUAGGCCGCCUGUGCAAGUGAUCCAUGUGUGAUAUGUGUACACAUGUGUAUACAAGCCUGGGAAGGGCAUGACUCCGACUGCUGUAGGCAGCUGCCCUUUAGCCCAGCCUGGCAGGGCUCCUGCUCCUUCCAGCCCAUAGCAGCUGCUGAAAGGAAGCAGACAGAGGGGCUUGGAGGCUCUCUGGGACCAGGGAUCUGUCAAGCCCGAGAUCCUUAGCUGCAGGUCUGCCUGUUCUACACUGCAGAGGAACCCCAGCCUGAGAGCACAGUGUGCCUGGAGAGGGGACAUGGAGCCUCUCUUUGACGUGGGGAACUUGAUUCGCUCAUCUUCAUCCAGCAGGAGACCCAUCUUCACCUAUUCAAAUGAAUCAUUUAUCUCAUUUAGAGCCUUCCAAGCUUCAGCCCAAAUGACAUUUGCUUAGCAAUUGGCCUGUUUGAAAAGCCGACGUAUUAGAGCCAAACACUGCACCAUCUUUCUGAGCUGGGGGCACGGGGAGACAGGCCCGUGGGAUACAGCAGGAGGGAGGUGGGGGGUGUUCAGUCGGUCAAGGAUCCUACGGAAACAGGCAAACACAUUAUCCACUCCAAUACAGGCAAUUUCCCUCCCCCCACCCCCCCCACCCCAGGGUGGCUAAUUAGCUGGUGGCUGCCCGGGCUCUGUACUUGACUUGCAGAAUUAGAAUGCUCAGCACAGAGAUCCAUGUUUAUGCUCAAAAUCAUCGUCCCUCUUCCCCAACCAGGAGAGGAGCUCUGACUGUGAGUUCUGGGUCCUGGAGACUGCUCAACUGGCAUUUCAGGGGCCUGGAUGGAGCUCCUCCUCCACAGAAACUCCUGCUCUGUUGGAGGCCUCAGAAAAUGGCAGGCUCACCAAUGCAGGCACACAGGACAUAUCCACACACGAGCAUAAAGUCUCCUCACGUAUGUAAACGUGAUGCUGAGGCACAGCCACAACAAAUUCACCCAGAGGCAUAGGUACCCACCCUUGGAGACACGCAUGUGCUCCCAGCACGUCUGUUCACAGAUGCCCAGAGACACACACGGAAACACACUUGCAUGUGUGCAUGUAGACACUUGCCUAGACUUACAGGCAUGUGGUGCAUCCCCUUCACAGGCCGCCUGGACCAGGAUACGCAUGGAGACAGGGAAGCUGCUUAAAUCUGCAGGAACAAAAAUUCUUAGAACCUAACCUCAGUGGUUCUCAAUCAGAAUCAGUUUCAGACUCCUGAGCACUCCGGUCUCUGCAGAAGGCUCAUACGUACCCAGUCGGCAGAGGUCAGUGCUGCCAGGUACCUGAGGCCCCUGGACCAGGAAGGGACAGUCCGGUGCUGGUGUCAGGAGACCAUUCCGUGUAUGCCCAAAUGAGCCACAAGACCCCGAAAGAGCGACCUCUCUGAGCCUUCGUUUGCGCUUCUGUAAAAUGAGAAUGCGGAGAUCCCUGCGUGCUGACUCCGAGGGGCUUCGGAUGCAGAGUCCAAGAAGAGAGCCUUUGGCGGACUGGGUUAGAGCAGCAUCGGUGGAGGGAGUUGUAUUUCUGUGUAAGUGACGCUCAGAGAGGUCGAACGUCUCAGGGGAGGUCACACAGCGGGGAGAGGCAGCUGACUUUCCGGACUUCACAUUUCAAAUUCAGACUCGGCGCAAGUCUCCUCCACCCCUCCUUGUCGCUCCUGGAACCCGGGCACCCCCCGGCGCUCUGCGGAGCCUGGUUGCUGUGAGUAAGAGUACAGAAAGCGAUCUCUCGCGGUGGGUUCCGCCGCCCCAGCUCGCUGUGAGCCCAUGGCGCCCCCUUGCGCUCGUGGCCGGAGGCGCACCCGGCUCCUGGCCCGGCCCCUGCCGUCUAGCAUCUGACUCCUCCGCCUCUGUUUGCGAUGAUGCUGGAGAGGGUUGAUGAGCUUCAGACAGGGUGACUGGAGGUCACACAGGGAUGCGCUUCGUAUACCGUGUACUUCGUAAACUGUAAAGCAUGGUACGCACUCGGUCCCAGUGUUUGGACACCGCCGCAGUUUUCCAUGCGCUUCCACCUCUGUUCUUGAGGUGAGUGAGGCUGGCAGGGCAGGAAUUAUUUGCAGUCUACAAAUGGGGCAGCUGAGACAGACCCACGACCCACAGCCAUUCACUGGCAAGGAGUGGAGCCGGCAUCCAGGUUGCCUCUGCUUUCCUGCCUCCCAUUGCUCCUUGCUCCAGUGGUGGCCUUCUUGUUCUCUUGGAGGUUAAGCAAGAGGACUUUGGAGUUAGAUCUGGGUUGGAAUUUCAUUCUUGUACUGGCUGUGAGAUUGCAGUCAAACCACAGAACCUCUCUGGGCAUCAGUUCUGAACCUGAACACUGGGAUGAGGUGCUUCUCAGACUGUUGGGGGAGGGGUGGAUUAAUGAGACAGGGGUCAAAGCUUGCAGAGCAUGGAGUCAGGCGGCUGGUUCUGGAACAGUAGGUGCUUUCAUCAGGGAAGAUGGCAACUGCUGUGACUACCCCACUGGAAAGGAGGAGGGGUGGAGGACUGUGCUCCUCCUGGGGUGGAUGGUAAGCCUGGCACCUCAGGGGUCUGACCACUUGCUGGGACUUGAGGAGCAGUGGUGGUGGCCUACUGCUCACUGCCUUGCAGUCCACUGACCUUGUCCAGGACCUUAGGCAGGUUCUGGGAGGGCUUCUCCUCAUGAGAGGGGACACGCAGGCCCUGAGAAGGAAGAAGCCACUUCCCUAGAGCCACACAAGGAAAGAUUUAGGGCUUGCCCCAGACACAUGGAGGGUGAGGAGGCCGGGUGAGUGAGGGCUGGGUCUUGGUGGGGAAGUGAGCAAAGGAAGAGGUGGCAGGUAGGGUCCCUGCUCUAUAGAAGAUCCGAGAGGCUUCCAGGGGGGCAGUCUCCCCCUGGAGGCAUCAAGGGGUGACAUAGUAGAAAGGCAGGAGACGUAUUUGAGGCGGGUGAUAGGAACUGAAAGGGCAGUGGAGCUGUUAGCCCCUCCCUCUCUGGGGAGAUACUGGGUCUCGGGGGCAAGAACCCUCCUCAGGGUGAACCAAAGCCAGUGUGGGGAAGGUGGGGCUUCCUGAGCUUGCUCAGGGGCAGGUGUCUGGGUGUGGAUGUGAGGAACUAGCAUCGUUGAGCCCAGUGGUUUGUGAUCUUUUGAAGCAUCAGGAUGAGAGGAGGAUUGCUUCCGCUCCUCCAGAGUUUCUCAUGCAGGUCUGGCGUUAGAGUUGACAUUUCUAACAAGUUCCUGGGUGAUGCUGCUGGUCUGGAGACCAAUUCUGCGACUCAGAGAACUUACCCUGAGGCUCCAAGGCUCACCAGCUCCAUAGUCACAGCACACAUACCGAGGAGCAUGUUUCUGGAGCCAGAAGCUUGACUAGUGGCUUCCGGAUUUGGCAGAUGGCUUCCUGAUGGUUGCAAAAGAAGCGACUGCCUUGGUGGUCCAAGUCUGCAGGGCAGUUUUGGGAGUUGGUCCUGAAGAUACAGCCUAGAAUCUGCUUCUUCAGCUCUUCAACCAUUACUGGUCUUCACUGUGGCGCGUGAACUCCUGCUUGCAGCCUGUGGAGUCUAGUUCCUGACCAGGCAACUAGCCUGGGCCCCUGCAUUUGGAAUACGGAGUCUUGGCCACUGGACCACCAGGGAAGUCCCGAGCUUUGCUUUCCGUUGUUAAAUUCGCGAUGAUUUGUUACAAAGGAAUAGGAAAGUAGUAUGCCCAUCCUAGGUCCACUCUCUCAGAAUUAUCUUGAUUUUUAUCUUAAUCAAGAGGAGCAAUUAAAUAUUAUAGAAUAGUGAUACACCUGGAUAUCACUGGGUAUCACUGGCUCAGCCAAUCAGCCAAUCCUGGCUCAGUCACCCACUAGCCAUGGGACUUCACCCACCUUAUGUCACCUUUCUAAGCAGAACUUUAUUCAUUAGUAAAUAUGCAGACAAUAACUUUUCUCCUCACUUUGCUUGGAAGAUUACAUAUAAUACACAUUAUUACAUUCCUGACACACAGCAGGGGCUUAACUAUUUUGUUUGGGAUAGCAUUGAGCUAAUAUUAAGUAAUCUGUUCAUAGAUAUUAGAGUAAAUGAAACUGUUGUUUUUCACUACCAUUGCUAACGGUAAGGUAAUUUUAAUAGAAGGGCCCCAGUUUAAGCCAGAGGAAGAGCUAACUGUGGAAGGUAGGGCCCUGAUGUGGAGGGGCUCUGCAGGGAUCGCCGGCUCUGCCUGUGUUUGAGUCCAAGUCUUGGACUGGUGAGCUGAGAGCACUAGGGGACUAGGCCACAGGGGGAAGGAAACAAGCCAUGAAAAGGAACCAG